rnacentral:rRNA from 1 species
CCUACGGGUGGCAGCAGUGAGGAAUAUUGGUCAAUGGCCGAGAGGCUGAACCAGCCAAGUCGCGUGAGGGAAGAAGGCCCUACGGGUUGUAAACCUCUUUUGUCGGGGAGCUAAGAGAGUCAAGUGUGACUCAUUGAGAGUACCCGAAGAAACAGCAUCGGCUAACUACGUGCCAGCAGCCGCGGUAAUACGGAGGAUGCGAGCGUUAUCCGGGUUUAUUGGGUUUAAAGGGUGCGCAGGCGGAGGUGCAAGUCAGCGGUCAAAUUGCGGGGCUCAACCCCGUACUGCCGUUGAAACUGCAUGCCUUGAGUGCGCGAGAGGUAUGCGGAAUGCGUGGUGUAGCGGUGAAAUGCAUAGAUAUCACGCAGAACACCGAUUGCGAAGGCAGCAUACCGGCGCGCAACUGACGCUCAUGCACGAAAGCGUGGGUAUCGAACAGGAUUAGAUACCCUAGUAGUC